GUUUAUUCUAAUUAAAAACAAAUACUUAAUAUGUGCUGUGCUGCACUUUUUUCCAAAUAAUUUGAUUUUUUUAUGCUCAAACUAGUGGAAAACAAAUAGCAGAACAUAAAUAUAUGAUUUGAGACAUCAAUAUGGAUUAUGCAUGAACAGUACAAAGCCAUGAUCAAAGAACCAUGAUUCUGCCUCGAUACGGAAUUUGUGGAGAAUUGAAAGGGUACCAGGAGGUGUGCAUCAAUAGGGCAGCUGUGUUUAGGGCACCUUUUGUCAACAUUUGUGACAGGCUAUCAAAAAGAAAAUACUGUAUUUGCUCUAUGACCUGGUAAGUAUGGCCACGCAGCUGUGUGUUUUCGGGAUGUGAUAUCAACCAGUUCAACCAGUGAACCAACCAGGCUUGAGAAAAUAUUUCAUUGUCAUAGCCACAGACAUAGUGGGAA
rnacentral:lncRNA from 1 species